rnacentral:rRNA from 1 species
GGUGAGUAAUGCCUAGGAAUCUGCCUGGUAGUGGGGGACAACGUUUCGAAAGGAACGCUAAUACCGCAUACGUCCUAAGGGAGAAAGCAGGGGACCUUCGGGCCUUGCGCUAUCAGAUGAGCCUAGGUCGGAUUAGCUUGUUGGUGAGGUAAUGGCUCACCAAGGCGACGAUCCGUAACUGGUCUGAGAGGAUGAUCAGUCACACUGGAACUGAGACACGGUCCAGACUCCUACGGGAGGCAGCAGUGGGGAAUAUUGGACAAUGGGCGAAAGCCUGAUCCAGCCAUGCCGCGUGUGUGAAGAAGGUCUUCGGAUUGUAAAGCACUUUAAGUUGGGAGGAAGGGUUGUAGAUUAAUACUCUGCAAUUUUGACGUUACCGACAGAAUAAGCACCGGCUAACUCUGUGCCAGCAGCCGCGGUAAUACAGAGGGUGCAAGCGUUAAUCGGAAUUACUGGGCGUAAAGCGCGCGUAGGUGGUUUGUUAAGUUGGAUGUGAAAGCCCCGGGCUCAACCUGGGAACUGCAUCCAAAACUGGCAAGCUAGAGUACGGUAGAGGGUGGUGGAAUUUCCUGUGUAGCGGUGAGAUGCGUAGAUAUAGGAAGGAACACCAGUGGCGAAGGCGACCACCUGGACUGAUACUGACACUGAGGUGCGAAAGCGUGGGGAGCAAACAGGAUUAGAUACCCUGGUAGUCCACGCCGUAAACGAUGUCAACUAGCCGUUGGAAUCCUUGAGAUUUUAGUGGCGCAGCUAACGCAUUAAGUUGACCGCCUGGGGAGUACGGCCGCAAGGUUAAAACUCAAAUGAAUUGACGGGGGCCCGCACAAGCGGUGG